GUUAAGUUGGCAGAUUUUUAUGCUUUAAAUUUAGAUUUUAAUUAAAUGACUUAAUUCAUACUUAGUA
rnacentral:tRNA from 1 species